rnacentral:rRNA from 1 species
CCUACGGGAGGCAGCAGUCGGGAAUAUUGGGCAAUGGAGGAAACUCUGACCCAGCAAUACCGCGUGAAGGAUGAAGGUUUUCGGAUUGUAAACUUCUGUUAUAAAGGAAGAAAAAAAUGACGGUACUUUAUAAGUAAGCCCCGGCAAACUAUGUGCCAGCAGCCGCGGUGACACAUAGGGGGCAAGCGUUGUCCGGAAUGACUGGGUGUAAAGGGUGUGUAGGUGGCUUAUUAAGUUAGAGGUGAAAGCCCGAAGCUCAACUUCGGAACUGCCUCUAAUACUGUUGAUCUAGAGAGUAGAUGCGGUAGGCGGAAUGUAUGGUGUAGCGGUGAAAUGCUUAGAGAUCAUACAGAACACCGAUUGCGAAGGCAGCUUACCAAUCUAUAUCUGACGUUGAGGCACGAAAGCGUGGGGAGCAAACAGGAUUAGAUACCCUUGUAGUC